CUCACUAUGGUGCCCAGGCUGGUCUUGAGCUCCUGCACUCAAGUGAUCCUCCUUCCUUGAGCUCCCAAAGUGCUAAGAUUACAGUCAUGAGCCUCUGUGUCUAGCCUCUCUUAAUUUUUAAAUCAUAAUUAUAUGAUCAAAAAAUUAUUGCCAAGUUUUAUGUUUAUCACUGCAUGAUAGUCUAUCUUAUGGAUGUAGCAUAAAGUUUUUACCAUUUUUCUAUUCUAUAUCUAGGUUGUUAUAAAAAUUAUAAUUAUAGAGAGCACAGUGUAAUGGGCAUAUUUAAACUAGAAGUAGAAUUAUUGGGCCAAUAGCCAUAGAAACAUUUUGAAGGUCUUUGAUACAUGUUGACAAAUUCCUUUUCAGAAAGCUUACAAGUUUCUGCACUGUCACUGGUGCUGCCUCGGAUGGCUCAUUUCACCACAGUCUUGCUGCAGUGAAGUAUUAAUUUUAAGUAAGCUGUAAUUCUUAUGGUUAAAAAAAUCACCAUUCCAGUUUUUAUUUUUUUUGUGCUUUGAUUUGCAUGUUCUCUAUAUUAAUAGCAUAUAUUACCAAUAUUUACUAUUUACUUAAUGACUACUAAGAAGUAAGCACAUCACAUAAAGAAUCUCUUCUAAAUCUAUGCAACAAUUUUUUCAAGGUAAGUUCUAGUGUUCUCCUAUUUACAGAUGAGAAAACUGAAGCCUAAAGAAGUUCAGUAUCCUGUCCAAGGUUAUACAUGGAAGACUCAGGUUCCAGAGUCUGGCUCUUCCUUUUGGAUACUGUUACUUCACUUUCUCUAUCACAAUUUUGCAAGAAUUUUUUUUCCCCUAACUUGUCAGUUAUCAUAUUACAGAAAGAUUAUCUCUUCACAGGUUCAUGGGUCUUUCCCACUAGCUAGAUUGUAAACUUCUUAUGGUUGAAAUAAAUCACUGUAUCACUUGCAUCUUACGUGGUGCCCAGACAAAAUAUAUAUUCCAUAAAUAUUUGUCAAACUGAAUUAUUUGCUCUCAUGUUGAUACCGAUAUCUUGGCGGCCAAAUUCAUUGUCUGAUGGACUAUUAUAUACAUUAUGAUGUUCUUUUACCCCAAUUAGAUGUUAUAAAAUAAACAGGCUAAUUACAUUAGAUCAUCUUACUUGGUCAAUUUAUGUUUUCCACAAGUAGAUAGCAAUGAUUCAUGGUUCAUAAUCAUGAUUGAAAACAACUAUCACUGGGUUCCAUCAUCCUCCAAAAUGAUAAGAUCCUGGAUAACCUGGGUAGAAAAUUAUUCACAGCACUGUCCAAUCCUAUUCUUUGUUACUUGAAUUUGGCCAAAAGUACAGAAGUUGUUGGUUAUCAGUCCAACUGUUCCUUGAAAAAUAGUUGUGGAAAUAAACUAAAUUUACUUACUGAAGUCAAGGUCCAUGUACAACUUUCAUGACCUUUCUUAUAUAUUAGUCACUUUGAAAAUAAGAUCCAAAGCUGUGCUUAAGAGGAAAUUAAGUUUACAUAAUAAUACAUUGAACUAGUGAUUCAUUUUAGAGUUCUAGAUUUGAAAGGCUGCAUUAUACAGUCUUAAAAUUCACUGUAAAUUGGCCCAGUUUUUAACUUUGUCACUUUUCUGAAUGCCAGAUUCUACCUGCUCCUUCUAUGGAAUAAUAGGAAUUCUAUGGAAUAAUCAAAAAAGUUCUGAUUAGAUUCAUAAAAGGAAGGCUUUCCAAUCUGCAUGUGUUCUGUUUGUGGGUACAGUUAUAUCUCCUUGGAAACAGGAAGGAUGAUGCCCAUAUAUAUUUGCACAAUGAAAUAGCUACUAGGUUAACAAAUGAGUUCUCUUAGAUGCUUACUAAAAUUUGUGUGUAUAUGCUUUCUAAAGCAAAUCAAAAUUAAAUAAGCAAGACUCUUUUCUUUCCUGGUGGGACCCCUAGCUACCUUGGGGACAGACUGACAGAACUGCUAGCUUCAGCCUAGGGAU
rnacentral:lncRNA from 1 species